AUUAGAAUGAGCUAAACAACUAGGGCGAACAGAUAAUGAUUCUCUCCCCUAGCUGCUACCACCGGCAAGCCAAGGCCACUGAUAGAUUUAUCUGGAUUCUCGAAGGGUUAGAUUGAGAAGAUGAUGUUGUUGAAGGUUUACUUGAAGAGGUUAAGCAAGCUGGUGCUCAAGAAGAACUCGAGAAGAGGAAUUCGAAAUUAGGGAUCUGUCGAUGAGAACCAAAUCAAGAAAUUAAAGUUUCUGUCUUUGAUUAAUUGAUAUGAAUUGAUUGGAAAUGAAGAUGAACAUGCAAUCGUUGCUAUCUGUGGAUUAGUGAAGAAAUUCAUGGGUUCUAGUGAUUGAUUGAGAUGGAAUUCGAGAUAUUAGAAGAUGGGAAUAAAUCAAGAAGAAUUGGUGAUGGUGAUGAACAGAUAGGAGAAAUUGGUUCUGGUGGUCACUGUCAAUUGAUUAAGGUGAUGAGGGAUUUGGGUUUACAACGAUUUCAAAUAAUGUUGGUGCUGCUGUGAUGCUGAUGGAUUGGGGCUGAGACAAAGAGAUGGUUAGUGUUGAAUCGGAGAAGCUAAGGAGUGGUGGCUACUGCCAGAGGUGAUUGAACGUCAGAUGAAGAAUCUUGUUGCUGUUGAGCUGCUAGAAAGAAUGGAAGCGAGUUUGUAUUAAACCAUGGAGGUGGAGAAACAACCACCAGUCGCAGCGGCAGGAAAAAAAUCAACGACGGAGAAGAAAGGAAAGGUCCCCAAAUUUCAAUUUCAAUUCAAUUAUAUUUUGUUUUAAUUGGUUUUCAUUAAUUGGCAUUUUUGAUUUAUUUAGGUUUUGGUUUUUGGUUCUGUAGACGAUUAGAAUGAAUUUCAUGCACAACAUGUGUUUGAGAAAGGGCGUAAAGUAUUUAUCUCCUUUUGGAUGGCGCAGAGAACUAUAACCAAUUACAACGGGUUUGCUGAACAGAGGUGAUUACAAUGGGUCUGCGCACUGAUGUUUUUUCAUGCAUAUUGGUGACUUUGGAUCCCGUAUAGUUUUUAGCUUCUUAUACUACGUUUGCAAUCAGUUGCCAUUAAUGACCUGAGCCAGCAUUGCCAUCAGCUAGACAAUGGUUAAAUGUAUGAAAUUGUAGUGGAGUUUAGAAGUUGGGGUUCCGUUCACAUUGAGUUUCCAUGGAGUUUUGAGCUUAAAAAGUGAUAGUAUGCUUUGCCAAGAUAUCAGUGAACAAGAUGUUGUCCCUGUCGUUAAAUACUUGAUGCUCGAUGGAUGAUGGAUCAAGGUGAUUUUAGAAUCCUGAACGAUACAUGGGCCAUGAGUCUGUGUUUAAAUCGUUAUUGUGAUCAAACUUCAGGCGUGUAAAUGAUUUUUAGAUGUGCCUUGUCACAUCUGCAACUGGUGCUGGCGUGUACUAUAUUCUACGCGUGAACACAGAGAUCAAUGUCAUCUGAGUGUUCAGAAAUAAUGCACGCAAACUCAUGACAAUACAGUAAAUAGGCUGCGCCUGAGGGGAAUGGAUUGGUUAUGUCGAAUCCUUGACUCAGAGUUCUAAUACUCUUCCUCGUCUCAUCAACUACAAUCUUAGCUCAUAUAAUAAGAUAAAUAGUGGAUGAAGUAUAAAAUGUACGAACAUGAUAUAUCAUUAAUAUCGAAUUGAACAUAAAAAGUAUAAAUACAUGAACAUAGAUGAAACGAUUAACUUA